AAUAACAUAAAAAUGGAUUGUUCAAAAAUCCAUAGUUUUUUUUUUAUUAUUCAUUCUAGUUAUUCUAGUAAAAUAUAAAAUAAAUGGAAAUAAAAAGAAAUAGGAAGAAAGAAAAAGAAUAGAGAUAAUAUUUUGAUUCUAUAUCAUAGGAACGGAAAUAGGACUUCAUCUGCUUCUGAUUGUUGAUUCAAUGCAAUAACAAGAUUUUUUUGUUACAACAAGCCAGAUCGCAGAAUUAUAGAAAAAAU
rnacentral:lncRNA from 1 species